rnacentral:piRNA from 1 species
UGAGUGUUCGAAAUGCCGGUGCCUCU